GCCUUGGUGGCACAAUGGUUAAAGUGCUGGGCUGCUAACCCAAAGGCUGGCGGUUCAAACCCCCGCAGUGGCU
rnacentral:tRNA from 1 species